rnacentral:rRNA from 1 species
UUGACCUCGGAUUAGGUAGA